rnacentral:rRNA from 1 species
UACGUAGGGGGCAAGCGUUAUCCGGAUUUACUGGGCGUAAAGCGCGUGUAGGCGGUUGCGUAAGUUGGUUGUGAAAUCCCUACGGCUCACCGAGGAACUGCAGCCAAUACUGCGCGGCUUGAGUGGCAGAGAGGAAAGUGGAAUUCCCCGGUGUAGUAGUGAAAAUGCGUAGAUAUCGGGAGGAACACCAGUGGCGAAGGGCGACUUUCUGGCUGCUAACUGACGCUGAGACGCGAAAGCUAGGGGAGCGAACGGG